GAUGAACGCUAGCGGCAGGCCUAACACAUGCAAGUCGAGGGGUAACUAGAGUGAUAGCAAUAUUACUUUGGCUAGACCGGCGCACGGGUGCGUAACACGUAUGCAACCUACCUUAUACUGGGGAAUAACUUCGAGAAAUCGGCGCUAAUACCCCAUAACAUUGCGAAGAGGCAUCUCUUUGCAAUUAAAGCUCCGGCGGUAUAAGAUGGGCAUGCGUCCAAUUAGCUAGUUGGUGAGGUAACGGCUCACCAAGGCUACGAUUGGUAGGGGUUCUGAGAGGAUGAUCCCCCACACUGGUACUGGGACACGGACCAGACUCCUACGGGAGGCAGCAGUGAGGAAUAUUGCGCAAUGGACGAAAGGCUGACGCAGCCAUGCCGCGUGCAGGAUGACGGCCCUAUGGGUUGUAAACUGCUUUUGUACGGGAAUAAACCCUUCUACGUGUAGGAGGCUGAAGGUACCGUAAGAAUAAGCACCGGCUAACUCCGUGCCAGCCGCCGCGGUAA
rnacentral:rRNA from 1 species